rnacentral:rRNA from 1 species
UACGUAGGGUGCAAGCGUUAAUCGGAAUUACUGGGCGUAAAGCGUGCGCAGGCGGUUCGCUAAGACAGAUGUGAAAUCCCCGGGCUUAACCUGGGAACUGCAUUUGUGACUGGCGGGCUAGAGUAUGGCAGAGGGGGGUAGAAUUCCACGUGUAGCAGUGAAAUGCGUAGAGAUGUGGAGGAAUACCGAUGGCGAAGGCAGCCCCCUGGGCCCAAUACUGACGCUCAUGCACGAA